CCUACGGGGGGCAGCAGUGAGGAAUAUUGGUCAAUGGGCGAGAGCCUGAACCAGCCAAGUCGCGUGAGGGAAGACGGUCCUAUGGAUUGUAAACCUCUUUUGCCGGGGAGCAAAAAGCGGUACGUGUACCGCAUCGAGAGUACCCGGAGAAAAAGCAUCGGCUAACUCCGUGCCAGCAGCCGCGGUAAUACGGAGGAUGCGAGCGUUAUCCGGAUUUAUUGGGUUUAAAGGGUGCGCAGGCGGCGAGUUAAGUCAGCGGUAAAAUUUCGGGGCUCAACCCCGACGAGCCGUUGAAACUGGCUUGC
rnacentral:rRNA from 1 species